AUGAUUGUUAGUGCUUGCACGUAAAUGAAACUAGAUACAAGCGAGCGGCGGACGGGUGAGUAACACGUGGGUAACCUGCCCAAGAGACUGGGAUAACACCUGGAAACAGAUGCUAAUACCGGAUAACAACACUAGACGCAUGUCUAGAGUUUGAAAGAUGGUUCUGCUAUCACUCUUGGAUGGACCUGCGGUGCAUUAGCUAGUUGGUAAGGUAACGGCUUACCAAGGCAAUGAUGCAUAGCCGAGUUGAGAGACUGAUCGGCCACAUUGGGACUGAGACACGGCCCAAACUCCUACGGGAGGCAGCAGUAGGGAAUCUUCCACAAUGGACGAAAGUCUGAUGGAGCAACGCCGCGUGAGUGAAGAAGGGUUUCGGCUCGUAAAGCUCUGUUGGUAGUGAAGAAAGAUAGAGGUAGUAACUGGCCUUUAUUUGACGGUAAUUACUUAGAAAGUCACGGCUAACUACGUGCCAGCAGCCGCGGUAAUACGUAGGUGGCAAGCGUUGUCCGGAUUUAUUGGGCGUAAAGCGAGUGCAGGCGGUUCAAUAAGUCUGAUGUGAAAGCCUUCGGCUCAACCGGAGAAUUGCAUCAGAAACUGUUGAACUUGAGUGCAGAAGAGGAGAGUGGAACUCCAUGGGU
rnacentral:rRNA from 1 species